rnacentral:RNase_MRP_RNA from 2 species
UCCUCGCUCAAAGAAUCGCAUUCGGAGCACACAAACAGAGAGAUCUUUAGGGAUGUCUCGGCCAGCCAUGGCUACUGAUGCUUUGGGAGAAAGUCCCCGGACAACCUUUUCUUUUAAAGGACUGCGGAAACGCGCCGCCAUAGAAGCACCUUGCGGCUUCUCCUCUACCAAUUGCCCACCUCCUCCUUCGCACUCAGUUGCGCCCGGGUCUUGUUGGGAGGACCAUAUGGAUGAUGAUAUGAGUCCGAACCUCUUGCGCGACCCACAUGGCAGAUUGGGAGUGUAGGUAGGUGAUGAGGCCUGUCCUUGGAUCGGUGGGCAUGUUUUGGUAGUUGGAGGCUUUUCGUCGAGAUCGAUAGUUAUGCGAUUGUCCUCUAUGCCACUUGCGUUGCAUGGAUGAUAACUCGAUGGGGCUUAUUCUUGAUGCGAGG